AGAAAAUCGUGUUUUGCCAAAUUGUCUUGUGUGAACAUUGGUGAAUGUGUAAGGAGUACCAAUUUCUUCUGAAUUUGCAAAUAAUCUUCUUUAUGUCUGUCCUAGAAAACAUUUACCUGCUCACUAAAGAAUGUGUUUCCCAAAGCAAGCCUCACAUGGUUUAUAGAUGGAAGGUUUCUUCAAGGUGAAGAAGAAGGUAAAGAAGGAAAUCAAUGGAAAUGGGUUUUAAAAAGAAAGAAAUAAAACAUCAGAAAUUUUCAUUGCCCAAGUUAUCUUGGCAUUUAAAAAUAAUUUUCACUAAAGGAAAAUCAUUGUCUUACCCAUCAGAUGCCAUUUUCUGAUGCUGCAUCUGACUCUCCCAUGGGGUGGAAGGUAACAUUUCCCAGAAUAAAGGAAACACAAUUGGCUCCAUCAAACCACAUACAAGCACUGUUUUAUUUCAGUGUUAGUGAAAGCAAAUGUCUUACAUGAGGGCAAAAACACUUACUUCAACAUGUAGUUAUUACUAAUAAGUUCUCGGCUUUUGUAACAUUGCUACCUGUUCUUCCAUUUCUUUCUUAUUUCAAUACAAGAUGUUCAAUUUAUUUAGCACUACUGCUUUAAAUCAAUUAAAUAAUUUCUACUUAUUUUGUGAGGAUCUGGGGCAAAGUUUGGGGCUGUGGACUCUGGAGGAAGUAUAUAUAAAGGAACUGGAUCCUUAACAAAGAACAUGUUCACCAGGAGGGUUAAAAGUUCCUGGGGCAGAAACACACACUGAGACAAGCUCAGCACAAAACUGUAUUUUUCAUAAGUGGUAACCAUGACAGCCGCUGUCAAAACAAUCUCAGACAUCCCCUGCCUGGACAACAGGCCUUCCUCUGGGUCGUUUUCCCUUUAAGCUUAACAUAUUUUUAACAAUAACUCAAUCACAAAACUCUUGCUGCAUGAUUAUUUUUAACUUUUAAAAUUAAAAGCUUAUGUGGAUGAUUAGAUUGAUCCCUUAAAGCAUAGUUUAUUGGUUGUGUUAAUUAGUUUGCUUUAGGCAAUUCAUCCACAACAAUAAUAUGAUGCAAUCUUAAAAAUAUCUGUUAAAGAUUAUUGUAAAUAUGUUCUAUCAAAUAAACCCUGCAUAGGUAAAGCACCCAGAUUUGAUGUGCCCAUUACUCUUAACCAGGAGGCUCAAUGGUGUGGUCAGAAUUCUAUCAGUACACAAUGGCAUUUAACUAUUGCUUUGUUAAGAAAUAACUGCAAAACUAGCAUUAAGAAGUUUUAAUGUAAAGAAACUGUGAAAACUGGGUGCAGUGGUGCAGGCCUGUAAUCCCAGAAGCUCUGGAAGCUGAGGGAGGAGGAUGGUGAGUUCAAAGCCAGCCUCAGCAAAAUCCAGGCACUAAGCAACUCAGUGAGACCCUGUCUCUAAAUAAAAUACAAAAAAGGGUUGUGGAUGUGGCUCAGUGGUUGAGUGCCCCUGAGUUCAAUCCCUGGUAUCCCCUAAAAUAAAAAAAAAAUUCAAAAAUACUGUGAGAGUCCAGAAAGAUCUGACCUAUGGUGAUAGACAAUUUUACAUUAAUUCCCUGUGGCCAUAUGUGCUGUUUGGAAGUUGUACUGAUAGAGGCAAACAGCAUCCAAUUUUUAAAGACUUUGCAAGAUGCAAAAUGCAAAUACUUAUAAGUCUACAGCUUAUUUCAGGGAAAGGAUACACAUAGAAACUCAAUUAGAAUAUGUGUUAUCUGCUACAGUUACAAAGAGUCCCUGGAACUCAGAUGUGACCUACUCUGUACUUUCUCUGAAAGGGCCACAGCCAGAAGCACUUUCUCAGAGCAGGAACCACCAAAGAAUGGUGUAGAACAGCACUGAAGUAAGAAGCUCAAAGUAGAGUCGUGGAUGAAGUUAUUUUUUAAUUUCACACAUCAUGUAGGUAUAUUCUUGCUACAUAACCAGACUCUACAACAGAACCCUCCCAGAGUCUAACCCAGUCCAAGUGAAAAUCAUCAAUGUCAUCAUUAUAGUAAACAGUGCUGCUGAGCUAGGAAAAUCUGCCCCUAAACCCUGGACCCAUAGUCACAAACAAAGCAACACUACUAAUCAAUGCAUUUCAUACCUUGACUGCAGAUCAGAUCAACACUUUGUAGAAGCACAAGCAAACACUUCAGGUUAAUUCCAGGGCUGCUGAAAUUGAGCAUCACUUCAUAGAAGCUACAGUUUGACUACAUUAAGCCCCUGCAUCACCAUAAAUUAGGUGGGUGUGGUGGCUCAAGCAUAUAAUCCUAGCUACUUGGGAGGCCUAACUGGGAGAACUGCAUAAGCCAAGGAGUUAGAUGUCAGCCUGGGCAACAUAGUGAGAUGCCAUCUCAAAAAAUAAAGCAAACAAAAAACAACAUCAAAUGAUAAGGCCAUGUCUUGGUAUCAUUAUAUGGCUGAUGCAAAAACAUGUUAGUGAUAACCAUGUUUGAAUCUAUUUUGUAGGAAUAAACAUUACCAAUGAAGAGAGAAAAGGCAAAAAUGGAUUUCUGGAACUCAAGUCUAUUUUAACAAGGAUGCAUGGUAGUGAACCAACCCAAUCAAGUAACCUGACCAUUUGGUGUAUGGCUCUGUCUCCAGUCCCUGGAAAUAAAAUGUGGAAUACUUCAUCAGAAAAGAUCACUUUUUCCUUAGGUGAGUUGUUUAUUUAAUAAAGUCAGUAAGGACUGGACAAGACUGCCAAAAAUUCAGAACAUGUCUAAUCAGAACAAAAAAAAGUACUCACCAUUUCCAUAAUACUUUGAUCUCAGAAAACCCUCUCCCUAAUGCUUUACUUUCAAAUUAUCAAACAUUUUCACAAGUAAAAUUUGAA
rnacentral:lncRNA from 1 species